GAUGGACGCUAGCGGCAGGCUUAAUACAUGCAAGUCGAGGGGCAGCAGUUUUGUAGCAAUACAGAAGCUGGCGACCGGCAAACGGGUGCGGAACACGUACGCAACCUUCCUUUAACUGGGAGAUAGCCCACCGAAAGGUGGAUUAAUAUCCCAUAGUAUAUUUGAGUGGCAUCACUUAGAUAUUAAAGCUCCGGCGGUUAAAGAUGGGCGUGCGUCUGAUUAGGUAGUUGGCGGGGUAACGGCCCACCAAGCCCACGAUCAGUAGCUGAUGUGAGUGGAUGAUCAGCCACACAGGCACUGAGACACGGGCCCGACUCCUACCGGAGGCAGCAGUAAGGAAUAUUGGUCAAUGUACGCAAGGCUGAACCAGCCAUGCCGCGUGGAGGAUGAAGGUCCUCUGGAUUGUAACCUUCUUUUCUUUGGGACGAAACCCCUGUUUCUACGGGGACUGACGGUACCAGAGGAAUAAGCACCGGCUAACUCCGUGCCAGCAGCCGCGGUAAAAC
rnacentral:rRNA from 1 species